AUGCCAUCGAUGCGGGCUUCCUCAACCCAACCGGAGCAAAGCAAACACCACAUCCACCUCACUCAGCUCAGCUCACUUCAUCCCGAAGAAGAAGAUCGCGUCAUGGGGCCUGGAAGGUUUCUUGGUCAGAAGAAGAAGGAGGAGGCGAGGUCACUAACAGGUGGUGGCCGUGGCUCUGGGGCGCGAGGCGGCGUCCGCGACACUCCGGAGUCCAGCUCCGCGGCGCGCGGCGGCCUCGACGGCCCUAAGAAGGAGCCGGAGCCGCCCCUGCUGGAGGAGCACUUGGGGUUGGCCUUUGAGGCCGGCGACCCGGAAGACUCGCCGGGGUUCCUCCAGGCGAUUCGCGAAUCGGAGAAGGCGUCGCCGUCGCCCCUGCUGCUGGAGAAGUACCAGAAGUUGGCCCCCGAGGCCGGUCACCCCGACGACCCCCCGGAUUCUCCGGGGCUCCACGCCGCGCUCGCCGCUUCGAGGGCCCCGGGCGGCGUCAUUGACCUGAGUGACUACGACUUCGGCAGCGACGACGAGGACAAGAGGAUUAGGACUAGUUAG
rnacentral:rRNA from 1 species